AAAAGGAGGGUAAACAGUUUUCUGCACCUUUACGUUGGGGAGUUGUAAAGUCAGUAAGAUAACAAGAAACAACUGCGAGAAAUCAGUGACUGUAAUUGCUUGUAAAUAUUUCCACCAAAAUAAUGAGUAGUGUUUGAUGGGGUCAGUUUAAUCAACAGUUCAUUACCAAAUCAGUCGUUCUUUCAUUAUGUUGUAAGAAGUAUACAGUUAAAACUAGACCCAGAGCACGCUAACAUUAAUCUGGCUGUUAAGACUACUUUAUAAAAUGUUAUAUACAGUGUAUUUUCAAAUUCUUUAAGCGAUCAAAACCCACUUGAUAUAUAGAUUUUUUCAUCUGAAAUUGCGAAAAUUAUUUUCUCUCCUUUUCAGUUUUUCUACCAAGUAACUAAAACUUCGCAUUGGGCAUUUUUUCUAUUUUUGAGAUAUGUUUUCAAAGAAAAGUUAGAGUAGAAUGAAAAUGAGAAUCUUUGGAUACAAAUGAGAAAAAUCUAAUGUUAUAUGAAAAUUCUAUUCUUAAUCAAUUUGAAAUGUUCAUAUGUUACAGAAAACAGCAAACCAAUGCUUAAUGAGAAAUGAAACACUUAUGAAUCUUAUGUUUCAAGAGAACAGGCAAGCUACCUGAAGACUGUAACAACACAAACUAGAGAAGAUGACAUAAGGUACAAAAAAGCAAGAUGAAUAUGAGCAGUAGAAGAGCAGUUUACCAUUCUUUUUAAAGUCCUGGACAACAGAGUGUUUAUGUUGCUUCAUUUUAAAUCUUAUCUGAUGAAUAAUUCAAUUCUAGGAAUGACUUACAGACAUACAAGAGCUCGAAUUAUUCAGUUUUGUGGGUGUUGUUAAAUUGUUGUGGGACAAAUAUUUGUUUUGUUAAGAUGAGUUAAUGAUUUUAAUCAAUGUGAAACUCACCUUAAAGCAUAUCUUAAAUUUCAUAAUUUUUCUUUCUGGAUUCACUCCCUUGUGGAUAAUACCAUUAAAACAAUUUUUCUUGUAUUCAUCAUAGCUUUAUUUAUGAUCAUAAAAAUUUCAGCAAUGGGAACACAAUUGAUUAGAUAAUGAUGGCUUCAGUCCUUGGAAUAUUGAGCAGUCACAAAACUUAUAAUGGUGAAGAACACAUAGUAAUAUGGUAGUCUCACAAGAGAACAAUAUGUGAUCAAGUAGCAGGCACAGGGAUUUCAUGGGGGAGGCAAUGUGAUGUCAUGAAAAGACACCGACUUUGAACCCAAAGCAACCAGGGUCUCAAUCUGAGCUUUACCCCCUCACCAGUUGUCUGGCCUGACUCCCUGGACGUCAGUGUCCCCAUCUGUCCAAUGGAGAUAUUGUUAGCUACUUUGCAAUUUCUUUGUAAAGAUGAAAAUUAAACCCUGGCACAGAGUGGUAACAUUAGUUGAGCACCUACUACUAUUGCAACCUGAAAAAGACGUAAACCUAGGGGAGAUGCUAGAAACACACACAUAAGGUAACCCCUGUGCUAGAAGUAUUGUUGGAAUGUUGUUUUUCUCUUUUCUAGAGACUGGAACCCAGGCAGCUGACAGUUCUGUGUUAGAGGACAUUAUAUGUUCUAAAUGUCACUGUAUUUUGUGAGGGCAUCUAUGCCACCCCCACCUGCACCCUGGGGUCCUCUCUCUGAG
rnacentral:lncRNA from 1 species